rnacentral:misc_RNA from 1 species
CCGUUCUGCCGCCGCCAUUAGAUUUGGGGUUUCACAGCUGAAAAAGGUUAAUGGGUCCUAAACAAUGCCAAGUCUGCAAUGAAGCAAAAUCAAAGUACAAGUGCCCUUCAUGUCUUGCUCCUUACUGCUCUCUGGGUUGCUUCAAGAAACACAAAGAAACCCCUUGUGCUAAACCGGUAUCUGCAGAGGAAAAAUCAACUGCUGAUCCAGAGCUAACUGUAGAAAGGUCAUUAAAAGUUGAUGAUGCAAGUGAGGUGCUGCUAAAGCCACAACUAGAAUCAAUAGCUUCUUCCAGUGAAAUUCGCAAUGCUUUGAAGGAUGACAAUCUUCGGAAACUUAUACAAAGUAUUGAUUGUGCGCCAGAUCCAGCAAGUGAACUUGACAAAGCUAUGGAAGUGGAGGAAUUUCGCAUCUUCACAGAGAAGAUUUUAUCUGCUAUAGGUCAAUAACUCCAAGCAGAAAUAGACAGAAGGAGAUUGUGCCGAUUUCAUUUUUAUUGUAACAAGUGUAUGUAGACUUUGUGCCAUCUACUUCAACUUCAAUGUGACGUUCAAUUUUUGGAGUGAGUACUCUUUAGGCGAGUCUUUUAUCUAAAAUCUAUAAUUUCAGUUGUUCAUAGCAAGUUGAAUUAAUGUAACGUGGAAGAAAUGGUGCAGGUUUCUCUCAUUUUCUUGUCCAAAAUAAUUUCGUCUUUGGGUUAUGCUCAUGAUGAAUUGCCUUGUAUGCAAACCACAGCAUA